rnacentral:piRNA from 1 species
UACCAUAUUACCUACAUGUGUUAGCUGGU